UACGUAGGGCGCGAGCGUUAUCCGGAAUUAUUGGGCGUAAAGAGCUCGUAGGCGGUUUGUCGCGUCUGGUGUGAAAACUCAAGGCUCAACCUUGAGCUUGCAUCGGGUACGGGCAGACUAGAGUGCGGUAGGGGAGACUGGAAUUCCUGGUGUAGCGGUGGAAUGCGCAGAUAUCAGGAGGAACACCGAUGGCGAAGGCAGGUCUCUGGGCCGCAACUGACGCUGAGGAGCGAAAGCAUGGGGAGCGAACAGG
rnacentral:rRNA from 1 species